CCCCAGGAGGAAGGGGGGACUGCUAGCAGCAUAGGAUUGAGGGGUUGGAAGAGACCUUUAGAACAGCUGGUCGUUAUGCCAACCGGGUGUCCGCACUAAGUUCAGCAUUAAAAUGGUGACCUCCUGGGAGCAGGGGGCCACCAGGUUGCCUAAGGAUGAGUGAACUGGCACAAAUCAGAAAGGGAGCAGGUCAGAACUCCCACACCGACCAGUAGUGGGACUGUGCCUGGGCAAUAUAGCAAGAUCUUGGUUUUUAAAAGGAAAAUAAAGAACAGCAUCUCAUUCCC
ensembl:misc_RNA Metazoa_SRP Metazoan signal recognition particle RNA